rnacentral:rRNA from 1 species
GGAGCUUGCUCGGGAAGCCUAGCGGCGAACGGUCGCGUAACACGUAAGCAACCUGCCCCAAAGUUUGGGAUAGCCCUCCGAAAGGGGGAUUAAUACCGGAUGUGGAUGUUGAUAUGCAUGUAUUAACAUCUAAAGCAUUUAUGCGCUUUGGGAUGGGCUUGCGGCCUAUCAGCUAGUUGGUGAGGUAACGGCUCACCAAGGCGACGACGGGUAGCUGGUCUGAGAGGAUGGUCAGCCGGACUGGGACUGAGACACGGCCCAGACUCCUACGGGGGGCAGCAAUUAGGAAUCUUGCGCAAUGGGCGAAAGCCUGACGCAGCGACGUCGCGUGAACGAUGAAGUCUUUCGGGAUGUAAAGUUCUUUUCUGAGGGAAGAAGGAUGUGACGGUACCUCAGGAAUAAGCCCCGGCUAACUACGUGCCAGCAGCCGCGGUAAUACGUAGGGGGCGAGCGUUGUCCGAAUUUACUGGGCGUAAAGCGCGCGUAGGCGGACUCUUAAGUUGGUGGUGAAAUGCCGAGGGUUCAACCUCGGAACUGCCUUCAAAACUGGGAGUCUUGAGGCUUGGAGAGGGAAGUGGAAUUCCUUGGUUGUAGCGGUGAAAUGCGUAGAUAUCAGGAGGAACACCGAUGGCGAAGGCAGCUUCCUGGCCAUGUCCUGACGCUGAGGUGCGAAAGCCAGGGUAGCGAAACGGGAUUAGAUACCCCGGUAGUCCUGGCCGUAUACGAUUGGAUACUAGGUUGUUAGAGGUAUCGACCCCUUCUAGUGCCGAGGCAAACGCAUUAAGUAUCCCGCCUGGGGAGUACGUCCGCAAGGUUGAAACUCAAAGGAAUUGACGGGGGCCCGCACAAGCGGUGGAGCAUGUGGUUUAAUACGUCACUAACCGUAGAACCUCACCCAGGCUUGACAUCUGCUGAAAGCGCCUGAAAGGGUGGCCCCGGUAUUUUUAUAUCGCAGCAAGACAGGUGUUUGCAUGGCUGUCGUCAGCUCGUGUCGUGAGAUGUUGGGUUAAGUCCCGCAACGAGCGCAACCCUCAUCCGAUGUUGCCAGCGUAAAGUCGGGAACUCUUCGGAAACUGCCCGUGCAAGCGGGAGGAAGUUGGGGAUGACGUCAAGUCAGCAUGGCCCUUACGCCUGGGGCUACACACAUGCUACAAUGGAUGUAACAAUGGCUGCAAGACCGCGAGGUGGAGCAAAUCUCAAAAAUACAUCCUCAGUUCGGAUUUGCAGUCUGCAACUCGACUGCAUGAAGUCGGAAUCGCUAGUAACCGCAGGUCAGC